UACGGGGGGGGCAAGCGUUGUUCGGAAUUACUGGGCGUAAAGGGCGCGUAGGCGGUCUGCUAAGUCGGAUGUGAAAACUCUGGGCUCAACCCAGAGCCUGCAUCCGAAACUGGCAGGCUAGAGUUCUGGAGGGGGUAGCGGAAUUCCUGGUGUAGCGGUGAAAUGCGUAGAUAUCAGGAGGAACACCGGUGGCGAAGGCGGCUACCUGGACAGAAACUGACGCUGAGGCGCGAAAGCUAGGGGAGCAAACAGG
rnacentral:rRNA from 1 species